UUGCUUUCUUUGCUGGCGACCGGCGCACGGGUGAGUAACACGUAUCCAACCCGCCCUUUACUCGGGGAUAGCCUUUCGAAAGAAAGAUUAAUACCCGAUAGCAUAAUGAUUCCGCAUGGUUUCAUUAUUAAAGGAUUCCGGUAAAGGAUGGGGAUGCGUUCCAUUAGGUUGUUGGUGAGGUAACGGCCCACCAAGCCUUCGAUGGAUAGGGGUUCUGAGAGGAAGGUCCCCCACAUUGGAACUGAGACACGGUCCAA
rnacentral:rRNA from 1 species